UUCCAGAUAUUUACAAUAUCUGAUCAUCUGCAAGAGGCUAAUCUACAAACGUAUAAUGCAAGAAAGACUAUUUGAAUAGGGACUAAUAUACCCGAAUAACCUAAACUUGAGGAAAUUUGCUGCUGGGAGUGAGUGCAGGUGGGUCUAAGCUCUGUGCAAGGGAAAAGGUUUCUCUGAAGUGGUGUGGAGCCAUGCUGUGUGAGGCUGGAAAGAAGAACUGCUCUCCAGGGGACAUUGGUCUGAGAAUCAAGAAUGCAGGAGUUGGUGUGCCAUAUAGGGAACUCAGUUGAGAGUUUAAUAGUGGAAUGACUUUUCCUUAGGCAAUGGGAACGUCAGGUUUAGCUAUUUUUUCAACCCUGGGAAUAAGAAGACAUGUGACAACUUUUCUAAACUCAUCCUUUCAUCUCUUGACCAGCCUGUGUUCAGUUUAAAGCAUAGCAAUAGAAUUUCACAAGAAGCCACACCCAAAGUAAUUGACUUAUUGUGUGAAAUCCUAACUGUAGUAUAUAGAUUUUAUUUAACAGCUAUGAAAGAAAAGGUA
rnacentral:lncRNA from 10 species